rnacentral:rRNA from 1 species
UACAGAGGGUGCGAGCGUUGUUCGGAAUUAUUGGGCGUAAAGGGCGCGUAGGCGGUGCGGUAAGUCACCUGUGAAAUCUCCUGGCUCAACUGGGAGCUUGCAGGCGAAACUGCCGUGCUGGAGUGUGGGAGAGGUGAGUGGAAUUCUCGGUGUAGAGGUGAAAUUCGUAGAUAUCGAGAGGAACACCGGUGGCGAAGGCGGCCAACUGGACGAGUACUGACGCUGAGACACGAAAGCGUGGGGAGCAAACAGG